rnacentral:rRNA from 1 species
CCUACGGGGUGCUGCAGUGGGGAAUAUUGGACAAUGGGCGAAAGCCUGAUCCAGCCAUGCCGCGUGUGUGAAGAAGGCCUUCGGGUUGUAAAGCACUUUCAGUGGGGAAGAAAGCCUUGGGGCUAAUACCCUCGAGGAAGGACAUCACCCACAGAAGAAGCACCGGCUAACUCCGUGCCAGCAGCCGCGGUAAUACGGAGGGUGCGAGCGUUAAUCGGAAUUACUGGGCGUAAAGCGCGCGUAGGCGGUCUGAUAAGCCGGUUGUGAAAGCCCCGGGCUCAACCUGGGAACGGCAUCCGGAACUGUCAGGCUAGAGUGCAGGAGAGGAAGGUAGAAUUCCCGGUGUAGCGGUGAAAUGCGUAGAGAUCGGGAGGAAUACCAGUGGCGAAGGCGGCCUUCUGGACUGACACUGACGCUGAGGUGCGAAAGCGUGGGUAGCGAACAGGAUUAGAUACCCGAGUAGUC